rnacentral:rRNA from 1 species
UACGUAGGGUGCGAGCGUUAAUCGGAAUUACUGGGCGUAAAGGGAGCGUAGGCGGACAUUUAAGUCAGAGGUGAAAUCCCGGGGCUCAACCUCGGAACUGCCUUUGAUACUGGAUGUCUUGAGUGUGAGAGAGGUAUGUGGAACUCCGAGUGUAGAGGUGAAAUUCGUAGAUAUUCGGAAGAACACCAGUGGCGAAGGCGACAUACUGGCUCAUUACUGACGCUGAGGCUCGAAAGCGUGGGGAGCAAACAGGAUUAGAUACCCUUGUAGU